AGUGAGGAUAGAGGCGCAAAGACCAUUAGUACCCAUUCGGAGGAUAAUGAGGUCCGAAGAUGAAUGGCGAAAGGGGAAUUUGCCGAAGUUUCAAUGAACCUCAUUGUUCUUGAAGCUGGUUCUGCUGUUGAAUAAGCACAGAACUGUCAUAUAGGUAAACUAUAUGGAGGGCUAUCUCACGC
rnacentral:ncRNA from 2 species